rnacentral:rRNA from 1 species
CACGUAGGGACCAAGCGUUGUCCGGAUUUAUUGGGCGUAAAGCGCUCGUAGGCGGUUCGGUAAGUCGGGUGUGAAACCCCUGGGCUCAACCCGGGGACGCCACCCGAUACUGCUGUGACUCGAGUUCGGUAGGGGAGCGGGGAAUUCCUGGUGUAGCGGUGAAAUGCGCAGAUAUCAGGAAGAACACCCGUGGCGAAGGCGGCUCUCUGGGACGGUACUGACGCUGAGACGCGAAAGCGUGGGGAGCGAACAGG